CCAGGUCUUGUUUCUAGUCUAAACAGUUAUAUAAUAAUGACCCAUGUUACCAGGUCUUGUUUCUAGUCUAAACAGUUAUAUAAUAAUGACCCAUGUUACCAGGUCUUGUUUCUAGUCUAAACAGUUAUAUAAUAAUGACCCAUGUUACCAGGUCUUGUUUCUAGUCUAAACAGUUAUAUAAUAAUGACCCAUGUUACCAGGUCUUGUUUCUAGUCUAAACAGUUCUAUAAUAAUGACCCAUGUUACCAGGUCUUGUUUCUAGUCUAAACAGUUCUAUAAUAAUGACCCAUGUUACCAGGUCUUGUUUCUAGUCUAAACAGUUCUAUAAUAAUGACCCAUGUUACCAGGUCUUGUUUCUAGUCUAAACAGUUCUAUAAUAAUGACCCAUGUUACCAGGUCUUGUUUCUAGUCUAAACAGUUCUAUAAUAAUGACCCAUGUUACCAGGUCUUGUUUCUAGUCUAAACAGUUCUAUAAUAAUGACCCAUGUUACCAGGUCUUGUUUCUAGUCUAAACAGUUCUAUAAUAAUGACCCAUGUUACCAGGUCUUGUUUCUAGUCUAAACAGUUCUAUAAUAAUGACCCAUGUUACCAGGUCUUGUUUCUAGUCUAAACAGUUAUAUAAUAAUGACCCAUGUUACCAGGUCUUGUUUCUAGUCUAAACAGUUAUAUAAUAAUGACCCAUGUUACCAGGUCUUGUUUCUAGUCUAAACAGUUCUAUAAUAAUGACCCAUGUUACCAGGUCUUGUUUCUAGUCUAAACAGUUAUAUAAUAAUGACCCAUGUUACCAGGUCUUGUUUCUAGUCUAAACAGUUCUAUAAUAAUGACCCAUGUUACCAGGUCUUGUUUCUAG